rnacentral:rRNA from 1 species
UACGGAGGAUCCAAGCGUUAUCCGGAUUUACUGGGCGUAAAGGGCGCGUAGGCGGCAAUUCAAGUCAUCUGUGAAAUCUCCGGGCUUAACUCGGAACGGUCAGAUGAUACUGCUUUGCUAGAGUGCGGAAGGGGCAAUCGGAAUUCUUGGUGUAGCGGUGAAAUGCGCAGAUAUCAGGAGGAACACCGGUGGCGAAGGCGGGUCUCUGGGCCGAUACUGACGCUGGAGGAGCGAAAGCGUGGGGAGCGAACAGG